CGACUACCAAGUCAUAAAUGGAAACCUUCUGCCUUGAUCCAUCUCUCGUGACAUGGAUAGAUAUUUUUUUCUUCUCUUUGUCCAAAUCUCUGAACUGCAACGACUGUCUAUAGUCACUAAUUGCAGUAACCAUGACUACCAAUACUAUACUAAGUAGAAUUCCUAAACCAUCAUAUGUUCCUUUCGGCCACCCUUCAGUAGCAAGUCCCACACCAAUAGAAACAACAGCACAAACUAUCAAUAUGAUGAGAGUUAAAUCAUGCAGAGCCUCCCACACAAAUGUCCAAAAACUUUUAAACGGUUUCUCAGUAAAUUUGUUUGAUCCAUAUAUAUUUUGUCUGACAGAUACAUCACUCGAUUUGACUCCUUCAUUUGAUGAGACUCUCAACUUACCUGCAAGCCCUUCAACACCUCCAAGUUUCUUUAAGGUUUUUAUAUCAUACGAACCAACUAUAGAUGCAAGUUUAUCUGGGUUGAUUCCAAAACCAGCUUCUCGAGCUUCUUCUG
rnacentral:misc_RNA from 1 species